UUCACUGUGUAUUUUUAUAACAGGCGCCUCCUUGACCGUCCAUGAUAUUGCAGAUAUGCAGUGCCAAAAGCUUAUGUAUACUUCAUCAAACUGACCAUGUCACCUUGGAAUCUCCAAACAGUUGCAUAUGUGAAGGCAGUAUGGAACAGAGCAAACAACAGUGGGCCAGCGAGCUUCAAAAUUUUCAGUUCUAGGCUGUAUUUCCCAGUGGCUGUGUACUACCCACCAAAUCACAGGAAUCUCCCAGAAUAUUCACAACCCAGAAAAGACAGAACAGGAAUUGCUGCCCCAUCAUUGGAUCGAGCAUUGCAGGAAAAUAUAAAGAUGAGUAAAAGUGGAAAACCCCUAUCAAACUGGUACCGAACUGUGGAAUGGCAGAGAAGGAAUGGAAGCCAAGGGUCUUGCCAGAUGGCUGCUAGCCCCUGUUUCCAGAGAGGAGUCCCCUUUGCCACUCCUUCCCAGCCACAGCUAUUCCCCCGCAGCUUCUGUCACAUGCCAAGUGUCCCAGGGAAUUGUUCUCCAGGGAAUCAUGUUCCCUACCUCCCUGGAAUACUGCUGGC
rnacentral:lncRNA from 1 species